CCUACGGGAGGCAGCAGUAGGGAAUAUUGCUCAAUGGGCGGAACCCUGAAGCAGCAACGCCGCGUGGAGGAUGAAGGUUUUAGGAUUGUAAACUCCUUUUUUGAGAGAAGUUAAUGACGUUAUCUCACGAAUAAGCACUGGCUAACUUCGUGCCAGAAGCCGCAGUAAUACGGAGGGUGCAAGCGUUACUCGGAAUCACUGGGCGUAAAGGGUGCGCAGGCGGGCUUGUAAGUCAGAUGUGAAAUGCUGUAGCUUAACUACAGAACUGCAGUGGAAACUAUGAGUCUAGAGUGUGGGAAAGGUAGGUGGAAUUCUUGGUGUAGGGGUAAAAUCCGUAGAUAUCAAGAGGAAUACUCAUUGCGAAGGCGACCUACUGGAACAUUACUGACGCUCAUGCACGAAAGCGUGGGGAGCAAACAGGAUUAGAUACCCUUGUAGUC
rnacentral:rRNA from 1 species